GAUUUKWGAGUUUKGAUCCYKGGSCUCAGGRMGRACSGCUGGGCGGGGKKCCUUAAUWCAUGCAAAGUCGAAGSGAAKGACGGAGAAGCUKGCUUYUCUGAUUUAGCGGCGGGACGGGGKGAGUAACACGKGGGCAACCUGCCCUACAGAUSGGGAUAACUCAGGGGAAACCKGGGCUAAAUACCGGAUAAUCCUUCGAAUCACAUGUUUUGAAGUUGAAAGGCGCUUCGGCGUCACUGUAGRGAKGGGCCCGCGGUGCAUUAGCUAGUUGGUGGGGUAACGGCCUACCAAGGCAACGAUGCAUAGCCGACCUGAGAGGGUGAUCGGCCACAUUGGGACUGAGACACGGGCCCAAACUCCUWCGGGAGGCAGCAGUAGGGAAUCUUCCACAAUGGACGAAAGUCUGAUGGAGCAACGCCGCGUGAGUGAUGAAGGUUUUCGGAUCGUAAAACUCUGUUGUAAGGGAAGAACAAGUACGUUAGGAAAUGAACGUACCUUGACGGUACCUUAUUAGAAAGCCACGGCUAACUACGUGCCAGCAGCCGCGGUAAUACGUAGGUGGCAAGCGUUGUCCGGAUUUAUUGGGCGUAAAGCGCGCGCAGGUGGUUUCUUAAGUCUGAUGUGAAAGCCCACGGCUCAACCGKGGAGGGUCAUUGGAAACUGGGGAACUUGAGUGCAGAAGAGGAUAGUGGAAUUCCAAGKGUAGCGGUGAAAUGCGUAGAGAUUUGGAGGAACACCAGUGGCGAAGGCGACUGUCUGGUCUGUAACUGACACUGAGGCGCGAAAGCGUGGGGAGCAAACAGGAUUAGAUACCCUGGUAGUCCACGCCGUAAMCKWUKKGUAMUAAGUGUUAGGGGGUUUCCGCCCCUUAGUGCUGCAGCUAACGCAUUAARGCAAYYCCCSC
rnacentral:rRNA from 1 species